rnacentral:rRNA from 1 species
GAUAAACGCUGGCGGCGUGCCUAAUGCAUGCAAGUCGCACGGGAGCUUCGGCUCCAGUGGCGGACGGGUGAGUAACACGUAGGAACCUGCCCGAGAGUGGGGGACAACUCCGCGAAAGCG